rnacentral:rRNA from 1 species
GACGAACGCUGGCGGCGUGCUUUAUACAUGCAAGUCGAACGAUGAAGUUCCUUCGGGAAUGGAUUAGUGGCGAACGGGUGAGGAACACGUGAGAAACCUGCCUUUCAUUCUGGGAUAACACCGGGAAACCGGUGCGAAUACCGGAUACUCCGUCUUGGCGGCAUCGCCGAGCCGGGAAAAAAUUUUGAGGAAAGAUGGUCUCGCGGCCUAUCAGCUAGUUGGUGAGGUAAUGGCUCACCAAGGCGACGACGGGUAGCCGGCCUGAGAGGGCGACCGGCCACACUGGGACUGAGACACGGCCCAGACUCCUACGGGAGGCAGCAGUAGGGAAUAUUGGGCAAUGGGCGCAAGCCUGACCCAGCGACGCCGCGUGAGGGAUGAAGGUCUUCGGAUUGUAAACCUCUUUCAGUAGGGAAGAAGCGAAAGUGACGGUACCUAAAGAAGAAGCACCGGCUAACUAUGUGCCAGCCGCCGCCGUAA